UUCUCCUCCUUCUCCCUUUAUUCGUGUUUUGUGUUUUGGCCUUUUUUUUUUGGGGUUUUUCUCUUCUUCUAUUCUCGAUUUCUAUGCUUUGAUCUGGGAUUUUCAAAGGGGCUCAUAGCCUCAGGGGAGAGCUGUGUAUAAGCGGUAGCUCUGAAAUACCCGCAGGUUCUCUGCGGGGUGCCCGUCGGCGAUUUCUUCGAGCCCUAAAGAAACAAUAACAGGAAUGGUCUCAUAGUACGGGCUUGUGCUCUCUUUGGGGUUUCCUCCCCAUGUCCUCUCUCACAUCCCCGCCUCCAAAGACCAUCACAUCUCUCGAACAAUUUUGUGGGGUUCUCCCCCUUUUUUUGUUGUUUUCUUUUUUCUUUUUGCAUUCACAUGGUUUUUGAGUAACGCUGAGUUCACAUUAUUCGUCUUUGAAUUAUUUUUUUUGGGGGAUGAUAUUUGAUAUUAUGUUAUGUCUACUGUAAAUAUACAUCGGUUUUUACCAUUUUUCUAACUAUUUGACUUCUUCUGUCCAAUCUUGGCCACGGUUUAAAGCUGAGCUUAUUUCUAUUACUCUUGGUUAUGGAUCUCUGUUUCAUAUUUUCAUCUUGACAUAUGUUCUGUUUUUUGUCACACAUUCAUCAAUGAUUAGUUUGAAUUCUCUAAUAGGCCAUGAGGAAGCAUGAAAAAUUAAUUAAAAGAUGCCAUUUUAACUAAAUCUUCUCAACUAUCCAAAUACAUAUUACUCUAUUUUAAGUUACAGAAGAUUGAUGUUUGUUACAAUCCUUGUUGUUCUUUCUUUAUUUUUUUGAAAAAAAAGUUUUAUCUGGAUUACAGAUACAAUUAUUUCUAAACAUGUAGUGUUUAGACAUCAAUGAAAGCUGUUUCCAUCAGAUGGUAUGCAGUAUUUAUGAUAGAUAUCGACUUAGAUGCAUGCAAGGAUGGAAGACUUGCAGUAAUCAUAUGAGAGACUAUUAGUAAACCACUGAGAAAUUACUCAGCAUAAAGCUAUUAGUUUGAUAUCAAGUUGAGGAACAUAUGAAAAUAUAUUGAUAUAUGUUGACCAAGAUAACAUCACUACAAACUGUAUCAACUAAGAUGAAAAUCUUGAACCUCAUAAAUUUCAACACUGGAUUGGAUUCGUUGCAAAUGGAGCAAGCAAUGUCCAUUUCCUGCGGAGUUGCGUGUUCUUGAGGACUUCCUGGAUAACCAACCUUCAUUUCUAAAUUUAUUACAAAGAGAAGUUAUUUUGCAUGAGAAAAAUGUUACCCCAUGAUGGUGGCACCUGAUCUUUGUAGUUACAAGCAACGGGCUUGGGUUAGUCGUAACACUUCAACAAUAACAAGAUUUCCGUCCCAAUGCUAGUGGAGUGUAAUAUGUUAUGAUGCUUUGCUUAACCUUAGUUUGGAUGUACGCAUCUUGCCAAUUCCGCUUGGGAAUAUGGUAGAUGUUAGGGAUUAGCCCCUCUAGAUCUCGAAAAAGAAAGAAGCAGAUAAACUAUGGCUCUAGCAAAUGACAUCCUCUUGCAAACCGGCCUUAGCUUACUCCUCUUCAACUUGGGUGAGUUUUGUAUUUUAUUACAAAAAACAGAAGGGUUUCUAAUCUCAAUAUUGGAAAAUACAGCAUGAAUCAACCCUAGCCAACCCAAUAACUUCAUCAAACCAAAAUUUUACUUGAAGUUUGAUACCAGCACAUCUUGAUGCUCCACAUCAAGAGCAAUGUCAAAGUGGAGAAAUUAGGGCCGGCAUGGCAGUGACGAUCCGCACGAAACAUCUAUAUAUUUUCGAGGGGGUUUCGGGAUUUUUCUAAGUAUACUUAUACUCAUUAUUGUAUAUACCACUAUGUUGGUGAACUCCAUCAAUCAUCAAAAUCUAUGAUAUAUCAGCAUGGGGUUAGAUCGUCCAUUGCAAUGCACCCUUGAGAUUGGCAGCGUGCACACGGUGCCCGCAAUUUUUUUUUAUCGUCAAAAUGGCACGGAAAUCUCACGUAAAGAUGUCACAACUUAUUCGCCAAUCAUCGGUUGACACAUCAGCAUGGUGCUUGCGAUGUUCCCAAGGCCAGCUCAGCAGCAGACCAACUUGUAAACCCAAAAAAUGUAGAUUAAAAUAAAAAUUGACGCACGUGACGGUGACAGUUCACGUGGGUUACGCGCCAUCAGCCGACAAGAUCGGCCAUCCUCCGCCGGACUCCUCUCCCCUCCGCCGGUCAUUAUUAAAUUCGUCUCAAUCCCCUCUCUCGGUUCCGCCAGAACCAAAGGGAGAAAAUGUCUGUGUUUUUUCCUUUUUCCCCGGUUUCCUCUCCACGCUAGGGUUUUUUUUUUCUCGCCGCCUUCUCGAAUUCGCUUGGUGCAGGUCGGGAACCGUUUCAGGUGCGUCCGAUUCGAUCACGAUGUGAUCAGGAGCGUCCGUUAUGGUGCACCCGGUUCUCCACUUGCAUCAACUGAAUUCGAGAACGUUUGGCGAAAGGAAGCUUCUUUCCUUUGCCCUCCUCCCAAUCCUUUUGUAGCUUUGGAGGUCGAAUCACCAGAGGCUGAUGCGAAGAUUGUUAUUGGCAUCGCCAAAUUGAUGAAUUCUACUUUACUGGGUGAUUCACUUGUGUAUAACGGAAAAAGAAGAAAAAAGAUUUGAGUUGUGAAAAAUGAAGGAUACGAAUUUGAAGGUUUGAUUUUGGAUUGAUUGGAUGCUGCUUAUCUAUGAAUAACUCUCGCUGAGUUAUACUGUGCUUUAGUUUAACUUUACCAUAAUGUUCUACAUGCCCUAAAAAUCUGACCUUUAAUUUGUUUUGUGUACUGAAAGUUUACCUGACCAAGUCAAUCAUUGCUCCAUUUAUGUGAUAUUGGAUUGGUUGCUUUAGGAAUUUGUUAUAUGACAUGCAUAUCUUGGUAGGUAGAUAUGAUUUCCAUAAUAUGCACAAACAGUCCUAGUUAAUCUUGCGAUUUUGUCAUGUUGAAUUCCUAAUAGCAACAGUUCUCCAAAGAUAAGGCAUUUGACCUUCAAACAGGUCGAAAAAAACUGUAUGGACUCUUAGUGAACUUCUCUAAAUGCAAUUUCUGAAUUGAUCUUGUUUACUUGAAUAUAUAUCUUCUAAGUAAAGAUCCUAGGCAUAUUUUAUCAUUCAUCCUUCUAAGUAAAUUUCCAAUGGCAGUUGCCUUUUUGUUUUACUUUAAAGUCACUUUUUGCUCAUAAUUUCAUGAACGCAUACGUAUUUGGAAAUUUCAACUUGAUUAAGCAUAUUAUAAUGUCUACCCUUUACCACUAUCAGCUUUAUUAUGAUUACAAUUUCGAUCUGUGAAACGUAAGACUUCUCUCCUGAACUUGCUGUCCUGUCUGUAAUUUCAGUAGCAAAUAGCUUCUACUUCUACUAUAUCACUGUCUUGUAAUUUUACCUUGAUUCCAAACUUUUUAUAGUUGCUCAUUCUUUGUUUCUUUUCUUUGUGAUUGCUUACUGUCUUUAUUGCGCUUAUCCUUUGUGUUAUCUCAUCAACAUUCACUCUUCUGUCAUCGUACUGUAGUAUUCUGCUCUUGACUCUUUUUUUCUUCUUUGCAUGAGAUAGUGACAGUAAAAUUAAUUAGUGAUCUAAAAAAUUUGAGGGGUGGAGGGAGAGGGAGAGAGAGAGAGAGAGGGCAAGAAACAACAAAUUAGCAGAAAGUAAGCUUUUGACAAUGAAACACUCAACCUCUUUUUACGACAAAGAAAAUGAAGUGUGUAGAUUACCAAAACAACUGAACUAUAGAUCGGAACAACUUAAAGAGCAAAACUUGUGGAUAUUUUUAAUCAAUCUGCUGAUAGAAUGUGAAACUAAGAAGUUGCACUAUAGAAGAUCUUGCUGAUUAUAUGCAUCACUUGCGUGUAUAUGCAACCAGUAAUCAUUCUUACAGGUUCAUUACUUUAAAGAAAGCUAGAUUUGGACAGGAUAAUUUACAGAAUCAAAUACUCAUUUGGGUGUAAAGUGUAGGAACCAACACCAGAAGAGCCUCAAUUAUAAUUUUCCAUAACUAGGAAUUUCAGUAGGAAGGUACCAAAAUGACUAACCAUAUGAUCCAAAACUUUCUGUCUUGCAACCAACAUGGGCUUUUUAGAAGAUCAAACCAACUCGACAAAAAUUUGAUGACAAUGGCCUUUUGCUGGUUUCUGCUUCUUUCCAACUGUCUUUGAAAUCCAGUUAGAAUGUUAGCCUUACCUGUUUUCGGCUAUUUCCUUCUGCCAGGUAUAUAAAUGUUUAAUCUUCACAUAAGUCAUCUACGGUCUAAAAUCUGAUUUCUUAUUAAGUUGACAUGCAAUGUUGCUAAUGAUCUCUUUUGCAAGUUGAUUUAAUCUGAAAGCUAUGAAGAAAAGCAGUGGCAGAUUGAUUGUAAAGAAACUCUGUAAAGCAGCUCAGCAGGAUGUUGUUAAUGAUCUCUUUUGCAAGUUGACUCUGCUUUCCAAGGAGGAUUCCGUUUAAAGUUUCAGCUCAUCAACCAAGUCUAAGUCUGCGCUGUUUGAGCUCUCUGUUGAAGGAUGUGGUAUUCUAUCUGGUACUGAGACUUUGGAGGAUUCACAAACUUAAAUCUGUCAAGGAGCCUGGGACUAUGAUGACCUUUCUGACCUUCUAUCUUAUCAGAGAAGCUGUCCUUCAGAAUCAGAAAAGCAAAACUUAUAUGGGCGUCAAGAUUUAAUCACAAAAUUCCACUCGGCAAGUGUUUGGUUAUACAGGAGGAACUGUUUCUCAAUUCCCAUCCCUCAGCAAUUAGUUACUUCACACAGGAGCCUUGGCAAUGGACACCGUCUGAGAGGACCACAAUCAAAAUAAUGUCAUCACAGUAGGAGUCCGACAGAACAUUGAAGAGAAACCUAUCUGACUCCAGGGAUGACAGAGCUAUCACUGGAGACAGAUGACCCCAAUAUGGCUAUAGUUGUCAUCCAAGCCUGAGCUUGAAGUGACUACUGAUCGAGAUUCCAUUACAGGGGAAGCGAAGCUAAAUUCCUGCUGUUGCAACUGAAAGUUCAAAAUAUAUUGAACAAUAUGUUUCCAGAUUUUCAAUGGCAUAGCUCCGUAAAUUACUGCUGCACCCGGCAAGUAUGGGGAACUCAUGAAUGCGCUGCUACUAUUGAAGUAAUCCUGAGCUCCCUUCAUUGAAGUUAGGAUAUCAUGAUGUGCACCUGUCGAAAACUCGAAAUAGGAUACCGUUGAGGUAAAGAUGUGUCGAAGUUGGACCUGAUAAUGGUGAUGUGUGGCUGGAUUCAGUUUUAAAGAGAUGGAGGAGCUCAAAGAUGAGGGCUUGAUGCAACAAGGGGGCUAAAGAAUUGUUGGCUACUAGACCUUCAGGACACAGGAGCAGGGACUGGCAACAUGGAUAGGCCUUGUGUAUGAAUGUUUGCAAUUGAUGAUUUUAUUGUUUGGACAGUGAUAUCCUGAGGGUUUAUAAAUACACAUUGUUUUUAUUAGAUAUGUAUGUCGCCCAUUAAUUACCUUGGAGACAGUUUGCAGCACAAAUGGAUAAUGAAAUAUCACACAACA